rnacentral:rRNA from 1 species
UACGGAGGUGGCGAGCGUUGUCCGAAGUUACUGGGCGUAAAGCGCGCGUAGGCGGGCCGUUAAGUGGGAGGUGAAAGGCUGGGGCUCAACCCCAUGCAGUGCCUCCCAUACUGGCGGUCUUGAGGGCGGUAGGGAGAAGUGGAAUGGCUGGUGUAGCGGUGAAAUGCGUAGAUAUCAGUCGGAACACCGGUGGCGAAGGCGGCUUCUUGGGCCGUUCCUGACGCUGAGGCGCGAAAGCCAGGGGAGCGAACGGG